rnacentral:rRNA from 1 species
AACGAACGCUGGCGGCAUGCCUCAUACAUGCAAGUCGAACGAGACCUUCGGAUCUAGUGGCGCACGGGUGAGUAACAUGUGGGAAUCUACCUGAAGGUUCGGAAUAACUGCGGGAAACUGUAGCUAAUACCGGAUGUGUCUGCAAAGAGAAAGAUUUAUCGCCUUCAGAUGAGCCCGCACUAGAUUAGCUAGUUGGUGAGGUAAUUGCUCCACCAAGGCUACGAUCUAUAGCUGAUUUGANAGGAUGAUCAGCCACACUGGGACUGAGACACGGCCCAGACUCCUACGGGAGGCAGCAGUAGGGAAUAUNGGACAAUGGGGGAAACCCUGAUCCAGCAAUGCCGCGUGAGUGAAGAAGGCCUUCGGGUUGUAAAACUCUUUCAUCAAUGAUGAUAAUGACAUUAGUUGAAGAAGAAGCCCCGGCUAACUUCGUGCCAGCAGCCGCGGUAAUACGAAGGGGGCUAGCGUUGUUCGGAAUCACUGGGCGUAAAGCGUAUGUAGGCGGAUCAAAAAGUUAGAUGUGAAAUCCCUGGGCUCAACCCAGGAACUGCAUUUAAAACUAGUGAUCUAGAAUUUGGUAGGGGUUAGUAGAAUUUCCAGUGUAGAGGUGAAAUUCGUAGAUAUUGGAAAGGAUACCAGUGGCGAAGGCGACUAACUGGGCCAUUUUUGACGCUGAGAUACGAAAGCGUGGGUAGCAAACAGGAUUAGAUACCCUGGUAGUCCACGCAGUAAACGAUGAGUGCUAGUCGCUGGGACAAUAGUUUCAGUGUCGAAGCUAACGCAUUAAGCACUCCGCCUGGGAAGUACGGUCGCAAGAUUAAAACUCAAAUAAAUUGACGGGGGCCCGCACAAGCGGUGGAGCAUGUGGUUUAAUUCGAAGCAACGCGAAGAACCUUACCAGACCUUGACAUGGUGUGUAUGAAUUACAGAAUCGUAAUUCUUCAGUUCGGCUGGCACACACACAGGUGCUGCAUGGCUGUCGUCAGCUCGUGUCGUGAGAUGUUGGGUUAAGUCCCGCAACGAGCGCAACCCUCAUUUUUAGUUGCCAUCAGGUAAUGCUGGGCACUCUAGAAAAACUGCCGGUGAUAAGCUGGAGGAAGGCGGGGAUGACGUCAAGUCCUCAUGGCCCUUACGGUCUGGGCUACACACGUGCUACAAUGGUGGUGACAGUGGGUAGCAAUACUGCAAAGUAAAGCUAAUCCCAAAAAACCAUCUCAGUUCGGAUUGGACUCUGCAACUCGAGUCCAUGAAGUUGGAAUCGCUAGUAAUCGUAGAUCAGCGUGCUACGGUGAAUACGUUCUCGGGCCUUGUACACACCGCCCGUCACGCCAUGGGAGUUGGUUUUACCUUAAGCCGGUGCGCUAACCGCAAGGAAGCAGCCGUCCACGGUAGGGUCAGCGACUGGGGCGAAGUCGUAACAAGGUAACCGUAGGGGAACCUGCGGUUGGAUCACCUCCUUUCU